rnacentral:rRNA from 1 species
CCUACGGGUGGCAGCAGUGAGGAAUAUUGGUCAAUGGACGAGAGUCUGAACCAGCCAAGUAGCGUGAAGGAUGACUGCCCUAUGGGUUGUAAACUUCUUUUAUAUGGGAAUAAAACGUUCCACGUGUGGGAUUUUGUAUGUACCAUAUGAAUAAGGAUCGGCUAACUCCGUGCCAGCAGCCGCGGUAAUACGGAGGAUCCGAGCGUUAUCCGGAUUUAUUGGGUUUAAAGGGAGCGUAGGUGGAUUGUUAAGUCAGUUGUGAAAGUUUGCGGCUCAACCGUAAAAUUGCAGUUGAAACUGGCAGUCUUGAGGACAGUAGAGGUGGGCGGAAUUCGUGGUGUAGCGGUGAAAUGCUUAGAUAUCACGAAGAACCCCGAUUGCGAAGGCAGUUCACUGGACUGCAACUGACACUGAGGCUCGAAAGUGUGGGUAUCAAACAGGAUUAGAUACCCCUGUAGUC